GAAAAACUAAAAUCCACGCAUACAACUUUACAGAGUCAGAGAAGUAUUAAAUCAGCACCUGAGGUUGUCGAAAAGGAAACCUGCACUGAAGUGCUGGCAUUAUGCAAUGGUUAUAAAGACAAUAAAUUGCAAAGACAACCUGGUAAUAUGUCAGGAUCAAGUACUUCAAACCAAGUUGAAAAAGACGUAUUCUCAAGGACAGGGUCAUCCAAAA
rnacentral:misc_RNA from 1 species